rnacentral:rRNA from 1 species
AUUGAACGCUGGCGGAAGGCCUAACACAUGCAAGUCGAACGAGUGGCGGACGGGUGAGUAAUGUAUGGGAACGUGCCUGAUGGAGGGGGAUAACUACUGGAAAGGGUAGCUAAUACCGCAUACCAUCGGAUCGGCCCAGAUGGGAUUAGCUAGUUGGGGGGGUAAAGGCUCACCAAGGCGACGAUCCCUAGCUGGUUUGAGAGGAUGAACAGCAACACUGGGACUGAGCCACGGUCCAGACUCCUACGGUAGGCAGCAGUGGGGAAUAUUGCACAAUGGGCGCAAGCCUGAUGCAGCCAUGCCGCGUGUAUGAAGAAGGCCUUCGGGUUGUAAAGUACUUUCAGUCGGGAGGCGUUACCGGCAGAAGAAGCACCGGCUAACUCCGUGCCAGCAGCCGCGGUAAUAC